GGUCAGAGGUUGGACUAGGUGAUCUUGGAGGUCUCUUCCAACCUAGACGAUUCUGUGAUUUCCCUUCUAAGCCAUGUAAACCAACACCAGACAGAAAACCUAAGAUCUUGCCUUUCUGACUUGAAACCUGCAGCUUCUUCUAUGCUUGGAACAUGACAAAGAAAUUGAUGGUGCCCUUUUUAUUACACUCUGUAUGUUCUGAUGAGCACAUGCUGUGUUUCUUCCCUCUGGCCCUGAAAUGUUAACAGAUUUCUACAUGAUAUGUGCUUUGACUCCAGGAGACUACCAUUGAUGCAGGAAAGCAAGAGA
rnacentral:lncRNA from 1 species